UACGUAGGGUGCGAGCGUUAAUCGGAAUUACUGGGCGUAAAGCGUGCGCAGGCGGUUUUGUAAGCCAGAUGUGAAAUCCCCGGGCUUAACCUGGGAAUGGCAUUUGGGACUGCAAGGCUUGAGUUUGGCAGAGGAGACUGGAAUUCCUGGUGUAGCAGUGAAAUGCGUAGAUAUCAGGAGGAAUACCGAUGGCGAAGGCAGGUCUCUGGGCUGAAACUGACGCUCAUGCACGAAAGCGUGGGGAGCAAACAGG
rnacentral:rRNA from 1 species